GUCUCCAUGGCUUCACGGGCAGUUAUCAUGGAAAGAAAGGUCAGUUUUUAGUUUUUGGAUGAAGAAAAUUUUCUGAUUGGGUCUUAGAUACGAUAGCAAGGAUGAGAAAAGAUAUGCUCUCUUCAGGUACCUACUUACCCAAAUUAGGUUAGGAAAUUUUUUGAAAAUCUGAAGUUAGAUAUAGAUUUCAUCUGGUCCGUUGUUAAAGGGAUAGAGAUUGUACUUGAUCAGAGGAAGUUAGG
rnacentral:lncRNA from 1 species